rnacentral:rRNA from 1 species
UACGGAGGGUGCAAGCGUUAAUCGGAAUUACUGGGCGUAAAGCGUGCGUAGGUGGUUUGUUAAGUCCGUUGUGAAAGCCCCGAGCUCAACUUGGGAAUUGCAGUGGAUACUGGCAAGCUGGAGUGCGGUAGAGGAAGGUGGAAUUCCCGGUGUAGCGGUGAAAUGCGUAGAGAUCGGGAGGAACACCAGUGGCGAAGGCGGCCUUCUGGACCAGCACUGACACUCAAGCACGAAAGCGUGGGGAGCAAACAGGG